rnacentral:rRNA from 1 species
CCUACGGGAGGCAGCAGUGAGGAAUAUUGGUCAAUGGGCGGGAGCCUGAACCAGCCAAGUAGCGUGCGGGAUGAAGGUCCAGCGUAUCGUAAACCUCUUUUGUCAGGGAAUAACGCCCGGCACGUGUCGCCGUCUGCAUGUACCUUACGAAAAAGCACCGGCUAAUUCCGUGCCAGCAGCCGCGGUAAUACGGAGGGCGCGAGCGUUAUCCGGAUUCAUUGGGCUUAAAGGGUGCGCAGGCGGGCGUUUAAGUCAGCGGUAAAAGCCCGCGGCUCAACCCCGACCCGCAGUUGAAACUGGCAGUCUCGAGUUGGAAAGAGGCAGGCGGAAUGCGCGGUGUAGCGGUGAAAUGCAUAGAUAUCGCGAGGAACUCCGAUUGCGAAGGCAGCAUGCCGGGGCGAGACUGAUGCUGAGGCACGAAGGCGUGGGUAUCGAACAGGAUUAGAUACCCUUGUAGUC